CAUAUUCUAUUCCCCUGGCCACGGUGAUUGGUUCAGGAGUGUGUACAUAACCUAAAAUGGACCAAUCAGAGUGAAUCUUAGGGUUUUUGCUUGAGUUGCAAGGAGAAGGUGCUGUCCUUCCACAGAACUGGCAGUGCUGAGGAGAUGCUGGUGGCCAUCUUGCCCUUUGGAGGGGACAUCCUCGCUGAGAAUUAGACUUCCCCAAGAAUGUAAGGUCACAAGGGCAGAGACUUUAUCUGCUUUAUUCCUUGUGCCCAAACCCAAUGCCUGAAGAGGAUCUGGCAUACAACAGACUUAAUCACUCAACAGACAUAAUUGACCUGAGAUUCUGCAUUGACAAGAAACCGGGAAUGGAAGGCAGCAUUUGAUGGCCCCUGGAGGACUCCGGUGGGGGAAGCACAGUCAGGAAGAAGACGACUGCCCCUCUCCCCAGUCAGGGCUGCAGACUGAAAGGAAAGGAAAAAGGCACAGCUGCAUGGGACAAUUUAGCCCUUUCAUCAGGAGCUAAGUUCUAAGCUGGCUGGGGGGGAGAGGCCGUAGAAUGACCUCGGUUCCCUCCCUGUCGCUGCCGCCACAGCAUCAUCUGCCCAGUUUUUUCACACUGCCCGAGGCUUUUCACCCCAGGAAGAGGCCCAGGGUGUCCUUGGGUGGCCCUGGAGUCCUGAAAUGGGGCCAUGGGGGAAAGGUGCUGUCUCCACGAGGAAGGAGAUAUUUCAGUGCUGAGAAUCCCAGAGAUGGGGAUAAAUGCAGCUAAGCUGCAACCCUUGUGGGGGUCAUUGCUCGGUGAGCCCUGCUUCCUGUUUCUUGCAGCUCUGCCACUCCAAGGUGAUGUGGGGGAAUUCCACCAGCCCUCUGAGCCCCUCUUACCUUGUCUGUGAAAUGGCUGUCUCCCCAGAGGAAGCUCUGGCAAUUCCAUAAAAAGGCCUAUUCAGGGCCUGUCAUGCCCAACACUCUGAGAUUUUCAGGUAAAUCGAUCCUUGGUCAGGAUAGUGAGUUCAGAUCCUGACUCUGCCAUGGAUAUGCUGUGUGGCAUUGGAGAAGACUGUUGCCCUCUCUGGGCAUCUUUGCAAGGCAGGUGGGAAGAUGGAGGGUGUCUAGGGCAGUCUGUAACUCAGUUACUCUAUUCUUGCACAGCAUGUCAAAGGUACAUGCUAUCAACAGACUUAUCACUGUCAAAGUUGCCUUUGUCACCUGGCCGAGGUAGAGUUUGUCAGGUUUCUCCUCAAUAAAGUUAUUCUUUUCCUCCUUUC